UACGUAGGGGGCGAGCGUUGUCCGGAUUUAUUGGGCGUAAAGAGCUCGUAGGCGGUUUGGUAAGUUGGAUGUGAAAUCUCCAGGCUCAACUUGGAGGGGUCAUUCGAUACUGCCAUGACUAGAGUUCGGUAGGGGAGUGUGGAAUUCCUGGUGGAGCGGUGAAAUGCGCAGAUAUCAGGAAGAACACCCGUGGCGAAGGCGGCUCUUUGGGACGGUACUGACGCUGAGACGCGAAAGCGUGGGGAGCAAACAGG
rnacentral:rRNA from 1 species